AGAGGAAACAGAGGCUGCUACCACAAAAGAAGAAGUAAUGCAGGAGCACAGGGUGAAGUGAGGCCAGAAAAGCUAGGUAGCAAGUGGCCUGAGGUGAACAGAGAAGCCGUAGCUUUCGACCCUUGGCAACUUCCUUUUCUCCCUACAGAAGCUAGAGGACCGACUCGAGGCAGCGGUGAGGACGUGACUGCUAAAGCUUACAGGAGGAUACCGGCUGAGGUCAUGGAUCAACACCAGGCCCUUUUCUUCUGCCUGUGCCUUCUGGCUGCUCAAGUUGUCCUAGUAGAAACCCUGCCAGAGAUACUGAACUUGAUGAAGCGCCUUGAGCGGCCCAUAGGCCGGGCCUUGUCUUCCAGAGUGAGGUUUAUCCACCACCUGGAACAGAUGUUGCUCAACGCCAGCUUCCAUGGGCACAACUUGACCUUGCAGACGAACUCCAUCCAGUCUCUGGUCUUCAAGCUGAGCUGCGGCUUUCCUGGUCUCUCCCUGUCCAGUGCCACCCUGACAAAUGUCUCCCAGGCGUGGGCCCCACAUGCCAUGCAGUUUCCUGCUGAGCUGACCAAGAACGCCUGUGUGACCUCUCGGCCUGCUGAGCUCAGACUCAUCUGCGUCUACUUCUUCACUGCACACCUCUUUCAGGAUGACCGGAACUCCUCACUGCUCAAUAACUAUGUCCUGGGGGCCCAGCUGGAUCACAGGCCUGUGAACAACCUUCAGAGGCCAGUCAACAUCAGCUUCUGGCACAAUCGGAGUCUGGAAGGGUAUACGGUAACCUGUGUCUUCUGGAAGGAGGGAGCCGGCAAGCACAGCUGGGGCGCCUGGAGCCCCAAGGGCUGUUACACCGAGCAGCCCUCGCCCACUCAGGUUCUCUGCCAUUGCAACCACCUCACCUACUUCGCUGUGCUCAUGCAGCUCUCUGGAGAUCCGGUGCCCACUGAGCUGCAGACGCCUCUGGAGUACAUCUCCCUGGUGGGUUGCAGCAUCUCCAUUGUGGCCUCGCUGCUCACCAUAUUACUGAAUGCCCACUCCAGGAAGCUAAGUGACUCCACCACACGCAUCCACCUGAACCUGAAUGGCUCUGUUCUGCUCCUGAAUAUCACCUUCCUUCUGAGCUCCCAGAUGGUCCCGCCCACAGUGCCCAGGUCAGUCUGCACGGUGCUGGCUGCCACCCUACACUACGCGUUGCUCAGCAGCCUUACCUGGAUGGGCGUCGAAGGCUUCAACCUCUAUCUUCUCCUGGGGCGUGUCUACAAUGUUUACAUCCGCCGGGUUUCCAGCCCUCUUGGUGCUGCUUCUUCUGAUGAUCAAGAGCUCAGUGUAUGGACCAUGUGUGAUCUCUUUCUCCAAAAGCCAGGAAAAUGGUACCGGCUUCCAGAAUGUGUCCAUGUGCUGGGUACGCAGUCCCAUGGUACACAGCAUCCUGGUUAUGGGCUAUGGUGGCCUCACAUCUCUCUUCAACCUGGUGGUGCUGGCCUGGGCUCUGUGGAUUUUGUGCAGGCUACGGAAACGGGAGAAGGCACUGAGUCCCUGGGCCUGUCGGGACAUUGUCAUGGUGUUGGGUCUCACUGUGCUACUGGGCACCACCUGGUCCCUGGCCUUCUUCUCCUUCAGUGUGUUCCUGCUGCCCCAGGUCUUCCUCUUCACCAUCUUCAACUCGCUCUAUGGUUUCUUCCUCUUCCUGUGGUUCUGCUCACAGAAGCGUUACUCGGACGCGGAAGCCAAGGCAGUGAUGGAGGCAGUCAGCUUCUCCCAGAUGACACACUAACCCAUCUCCUGCCCUAUAGUUUCAGCCUUCACUACUUCCAGCAGCCCUUGGCCUUGGCUCAUCCAGGGAAGGUGGUAGGCUGGUGGCGGGACAACAGAGUCUACUGUACCCUUGGGGGACCCUUUCCAUCUCCCAGAACUACCUGGGGCUGACGGCAGUGUGUGACUCUUCAUCUUGGUCCUUCGUGUCUGGAUGCAACUCCAUUGGCCAGGCUAUGGACCGAGCUCUAACUCGGAAGUCAGGAAUCUACACUAGGCUGGACCACACUUUGCACCCUGCUCUGCACUUACAGGAUUGUGGCCUGUGCUUGGAGCCACUCUUUCUUUUACCAGUCCCAGGUGUUGAUGACCUCAACUUUCUAUCUUUCCAAGGGUCAGGGAACCCAGUCCUUCCUCCUUGUUUUAACCACCACAGAUGGUAUAGACGAGCAGUCAACGCCAGGCUUUUGUCCCUUUCCCUGAAGCUGAGCCAGCUGGGCUUGAGGGAUCUAGAUGCUAGACUAUUGCGUAUACAUGGGGGGCGGGGGGUGUUCACCAUUUACAAACUCUCUGCCCACAGUGGGCAAACAUCUGUGCUGCCUGUCAGACCAGGUGGGAAACAGUGCUUGUUAAAUCAGCGCUGUCUCCAGGAUGGACAGCAGGGGGCGCUGUUGGCCUGUACGCCAAGGCAUUGGUGCCAAAACUGCCCCUGGAAAUGCAGAUGUUGUCUGUGGGAGGACAACCCUUUGCACAGUAGGCGAGUAGAGACCCCCGGAUCACACAUCCAUUGUCUCCUUCCCUAUGCAUCUGACCAAGGUCCCUUUUGGGGGCUUUGUGCCCAGCCCUUCCUGGCACCAGGUUGGGUCCCAUGCCAGCCGUUAGACACAUGUGCUUGAACAGUAAGGGAAUCAGAGCUGGAUGCCACCCUCUGCAGAGGAUGCUCUGCCUUUCUGGGUAAUUAUGUCUUAGCUCUUUACUGGCUGGAGAGUGGUCCAGGCUCUGGGCCAGGUUGCCUGGGCUCAGAUUCUAGCUCUAUGGCUGUGGCCAAGUUGUCCGGCCUCUCCGUGCCUUAUUUCCCCAUCUACAGCAGGGACGACAGUAGUAAGGUUUUAGAAGAUUCAGUAAAAGAAAGGAUCCACUCAAGUCCUACCACAGCGAGGUCUCAACAGAUGGUUACUGCUGUCAGUAGAUUUGUAUCUGCGUUAUUAUUUGGGUGUGCAUGUGUGUGUGGUAUAUGUGUGCCUGUGCACCCUUGCACAUGAGUACCGGAGCCAGAGGAGGAUGCUGGGUGUCCUGUUCUAUGGCUUUUUAUCUUAUUUCCUCGAGACAGGGUUUCUCACCCAAAGCAGAGCCAGGCUGACAGCCAGCACCCCCAACAAUCACCCAGUAACUGGAGGCUCCUGGAACCAUACUUGGCUUCUUACAUAGGUGCUGGGGUCUGAGCUCAGGGCCUCACGCUUGUGCACAAGGCUCUUAUGUCCUAAACCAUCUCCUCAGCCCCGUUAUUGCUAACAGCUUCAAUGAGGGAAGCCACUCAAGGUCCCAGGCCUGGUGCUGUCUGACCCCCUCACAGCAGCUCCUUAGGCAUAUCCUUCCAUUCCUGUUUUGCAGCCCCUCUCUCCCACUUUUCUUGGAGGAGGACCUUGCUCAACCCUUCCUGUCCCUAUUGUACCAAUGAUGUUCCCUACACAGUGCAGCCUCAGGCUAGCCCGAGUCUCCACCCCCCACCCCCCAACCCCCCAGUUCCUGAGUCCUCUGUUGGUCCGUUUAUCGUACCCUUCCUGAAUCUUUCCCCAUUUGUACCACAGCAAAGGCCUCAUUCCUACUCUGGUUUCAGGCAGCAUCCUCCACCGGAUUGAUCCCCAGGGUUAGUCCAGUGUGGAGACCUUUGGUCUGGGUCUCCAUGCUAAUGAGGGUACUGAGGGAUCAUGGGAAUUGGGACCUCUGGGUAGAUGGGGAAGGCUCAGGUGUAGCAGGGCCUUGCUCAAGGCCAGGGCCUGGCCUCUCAAAGCGAGUAAGCCUAGAACCACCUAAUGGAGGAUGUGGCCAUAGAGGCAGCCUAAGCCUGUGGCUCUGAGCUCCACCAGGGGUGGGGUGGGGGAGCGCCAGGCUCUGGGGUAGCAUUUCAGGUAAAUACCCCAGUUUGGGUGUGGAGUUGGGGCAACCCAGAGAGGUAUGGGUUGCCAGGUUAACUAGUCUUCCCAGCAUAGGUGACCCAGCUCAUGGGCUUCUAAACUGGGAGGAAGGGAGGAAGUCUGGGGAUGGAGUUUGGGGACACUGCUCAGAGAAAGACUCUGAGGGGGCAUUUGUUAGGUGUAGGAUCAAGAAGGCCCUGGGGUGUAUUGAAAAAGAGAAUUCCAGAUAAUGCAAAGGAAUUGCACUUUUGAAGACGCGCUCACUCCGAAAAGUUACUCAGUUAUCUGAAAUUCAGAUUGAGCCUCAUGUCCCAUAUAUCUAUUUUUAUGUUUGCUAAAUCCAACCCUAAUUAAAAAGUAUUGGCUCAGGAGCCCGGGAUGCGGGCUUUUCAUCUUUCAAAUCACCCCAGCCAUUACCAACUGAGCAGCCCCCCUGCCCAUCAAACGAGCCCACUCUCUCAACCCACUCAGAACGUUCUUCCUGUUGCCAGCAGGAACCCCAAUGGGCCCCACUGUAUCGUCAGCCCUGGCUCAGAACCAGCCCCACUCUGGACAGAGCCUCCUUCAGGCCUCUUUGCCUCCCCAGAACCCUGUCCUUUCCACGGCCUCAGCACAUUCUGUCCAUAGCUUAAAGCAUCCCACAUCCUCCUCCUCCUCCUCCCUGCCAACUACCAGUGGAUCUUGGGGGCAUAGGGGCCUGACCUGUGACCUCUCUCCAGCCUCGUUCUCCUUCCUGGAUCUUGCCACACCAAACGACUUUCGUUUCUCUGGAUAGCAUCCUUCUCAUCUUUGGGCUGGUCUUUUUCUGGAACCUCCCACCCCCUGUCCUUGAUGUCUUUAAUUCGUGGAAAGAUGGCUCCACAUCCUUAGCGUCUCAGCUUGGUACACCCACCACCCCCUCCAGCCUGGACAGAGAAGUCCCUGACCUCCAGUCUGGAUGGAGCUCUCUUCCCACUCCCCUCCCCCACGGCAGAAGCCAUUUCUCCGUCUCGCAGCUAACUGUCCCCGUCUGGCUCAGCUGCCAGACGGAGCGCGUUCCGGAGACAGGUGCUGCUGCUCGUUUGCUCAAUCACCCAUCACAUAAUGGUUUAACACUUAUAUUUUGGGCAUUGCACUAGUUGCGAAGGAUAUAUAAAUGAACAAGUCAUCGCAUUCUAGUGCGGGGGCGUCCUACAAGAAGCAGUUUAGCAAACGGGUAUAAAAUACGACAGCUGGUACCAUGGACUGUGAAGAAACAUAAGAAGGUGAGAGGGGGGAGGGCUGCAACCCUCGUUUUGUCAGACAGAAGCUUUGAGGGUACAGGAGAGUGUCAGUGAGCUGGCCUGAACUGGGUGGGGCGGAGUUUUCUAAAACAAGUUUUCCAUGUGGACUUUAGGGGAGCUAGGGGUAGGGAGGACGGGAAGGAGAGUCUCCUCUGAGAUUAAGCUGCCAGGGGGCUGAGGUCGGGAAGCCUUCUGUAAAGAGGGUAGGAGUCUUGACCUGGAGGAAAAGGCCCCUUGGUUAGGUUGGGAGGAUUUGCUCUGUGGGUAAAAUCAAGCAAAAGGGUUCCAUAUCCAUCUUCCCAAAUCACAAGCGUGUGAGCUACUGUGAGGGACGAGCCACAGAGAGCAAAAGGAGACAACAGAACAGACACCAAGAGGCCGCAGGAGAUGCUUAAAAGAAUAAAAGCUGCAAUGACAUGAUGUGUAUAUAACCAAAUGAAGGGGAGGGCUAGGAGCUGCUUAUAAGGCAACGGGAGACAUGACAAGAAGAAUGGGAAGAGAAACAGAGGCACGGGGAGCAGAAUCAGAAAAGUCUCACGACGAAAUCCCAGGCGAAGAAACUAAAACGACAGGCAGACACAGCAGUCACGGGUUUUCUAAACACAGACCCAGGGAGCGUGGUGCUUCUCAAGGAGGACACAGAGAAAAUGAAGCUGCACUUUGCACCUCUGAGGGAAACUUCAGAUGGAGAGAAGUGAGGAGAACAGUCACGGAGAAAGGACAGUGUGCAACGUGAGCUUCUCCAUCCCUAGCCACAGUGAUGGGCUGGGAGACUGCAGUAGGGUCCCCAAAGGGAGGCGAACAAAGAAAUGUCAGCUAGGAUUGCCUGCAGCAAACAGCCCUUUCAUAAACUAAGGCACAAAGGAAAAAUGUGUUCCUUUUAACAUUGAAAGGUAAAUGAAAGCUGAGAGCAAUCUAAAGAGAUUUCAGAGUACACUUCAACAGAGAAAGUGAUUCCAUUAGUUUGCUCUGAGACACAAGAAGGAUAGGUGAACAUGGAAACAGUGGGUGUACCACGUGGGUGAAACUGGGCCUUCGUUCGUUAAAGACAGACAGAUGUGAAAUGCCAGAGAACAGAAUGUAAGUCAAGAAGGGAAAGACAGUGCUACAAUAAUGGCCAGAAGCCUCUGUGUUAGGGUACCAACGUCGGGAACACUUUAUAUUAAUGCUCUGGUUUCUGUAGGAUCUGUGCGUCCUGCCAAAGCUCACAUGGUAGAAGCCUGGUCCCCAGGGUGGAUGCUGAUAGAGGGCUAGUGGAAGGUCACAUGGAGACCUGGAUUCAUAUGGCGUCCAUGGAGCCCUAGUUGAUUCCCAAAAGAAUGGAUUAGCUUGCUAUUGUCAUUGUCUCACAAUGAUGCUCAAACUCACUAUGUAGCGUAGAAUGGCUUCAAACUUCCGAUCCUCCUGCUUUCUCCUCCGAGUGCCAGCACACACAGAUAGAUUACUGUCUGAUUCGCAUCUUUUCCGUUCUGUCUUAUCAUGUGAUCUCUUUGGUGCACACUCCUGUCACUGCUGUGGGGCUCUCCCCAGAGGCUAUAUCAACGCGACCACCCAGUUCUGGAUUUUCAGCCCCCAAACUAUGGACGAAAUGAAUCUCUUGUGUAAAAUA